UAUAAAUAAUUUCAUUACAGCACUAAUCAAUUUCCAUAUUUAUUUCCACAAUUUCUGAUGCUUGAUGUGUAUAAGUAGUUUCAGCUUCUUUCCGCCAGGGUACAUGGUCCAGUCCAUAAACAAAAAAUACCAGGACUGGAAACUCGGCGGUCAACUGAAGUUUGCCUACAAGCUGGGAGGUGUGGUGAAUGUCGUGAAUCUAUCAUUUGCUCGUGUCCGAUGUGUGGUGAAUGUCGUGAAUCUAUAAAUGUGUGCGUGUAAACGUCAUUUACCAACGUGGUGGCUUUCACAUAUAUUCACAGACAGCACUGUACACAAAAGGGUUUUGGGGUUAAAGACGUACGAAAGUUUCCAGUCUUGGUAUUUUUUGUUUAUGGUCCAGUCCAUUAACAAAAAAUACCAAGACUGCCCUUCAAGCAAGAAAACUGAGUUCAACAAAGAGACUCCGACCUCCACUCACACACUUGCAACUUUUUGUGUAUGAACACAAAAGUCGAACGAGAAUCGUGGUGAAAAAGUGCGAAAAGGAAAACACCAUAUGAUAGAGGCAAGUGCAACCCCAUUUUGCAAAUUUGUUUAAACGUCAAAAUUAAUAAAACAAUAAAAAAAAGCGAGUGCUGAUCAUUUUAGAACUAACUGUUUUGAACCAUGAAGCAGAAGUUGGUAAAACAAUUGGUAAUCCUGUACAAUUUACUGGUGAAGCAACAAUCGCCAAUAAACACGCAACAGCACCUGCUGCUCCACCAAAAUUGGCCAGUGAAUCAACAUACCCAUCGAAAACAACCAGUGGAAAUUUGCCCAGUGCACCACAUACAAACCCAAUUUACAUUGGAAAAAAAACCAACCCCUUUAUCCGAGGGUACACCCAUGCAUCUGGAUGUGAUGCGAAUGACUGGGAAUCGACAGCAGAGAAUAACGAAUCAGCAGGAGAUAUCAACAAAGGAAUUCAUCGUGUAUUCACUAAAGUGGAGUGGAAGGUUCACCAACAACAGCAGCAACAACAAAUGAAAAGAUUUAUUUUAUUAAAUAUUUAUUUUAAAAUUAGGGGUAUUCACGAUCCGAUGCAACUGGUCUAGUAUCAUUGCAAAAGUGCAAAAGUGUAAAAUCUUGCAACACUACAACAACAAAAUAUAUGGAUUGAAAUUUUACAAUGGUCUUGCACUUUUGCUAUACCCUAACCCUAUUGCAAAAUAAAAAUACAAUGGUGUACAUUUUUUUUUGAUGGUAGCUCGUCGUCGCGUGUCGCCCAUGAUGAACAGUUUAUAUUUUUUAUUCUUAUUCUUUUUUAUUUUGUUUCUUUUGAUGUAAUUUGUGAAAAUAAAUUAACCCGAACACAACAAAGAAUGAAAUUAUAAAAAAAUUUAAAAAAAAGAAGAAGCAUCGGUGGAAAGACUACUCCGUAAAAAAAAAGAGUGAAGCUGAUAUAAAUCAUAUCAUGGAUUCCAUUCAAUAUUUACUAUAGAUAAGAAGAGGUGCGUCCACGAUCUAUUGUAAAAAAAUAAAAUUUUACACUUUUACUAGGCCUGUUGCACCAGAUCGUGAAUACCCCUAUUGUAUUUAUUGUAAUUUCUUUUGCUAAAAAAACAUUAAAAUUUAAAAAAAAAAACAUUUUCUGUGAACAAAAGUGAUAAA